rnacentral:rRNA from 1 species
CCUACGGGUGGCAGCAGUGAGGAAUAUUGGUCAAUGGGCGAGAGCCUGCACAAGCCAAGUCGCGUGAGGGCGUACUGCCCUAUGGGUUGUAAAACUCUUUUGUCAGGGAACAAAGGCGGGGACGUGUCCCCGGAUGAGUGUACCUGAAGAAAAAGCAUCGGCUAACUCCGUGCCAGCAGCAGCGGUAAUACGGAGGAUGCGAGCGUUAUCCGGAGUUAUUGGGUUUAAAGGGUGGGCAGGCGGUCUGUUAAGUCAGCGGUCAAAGCCCGGGGCUCAACCCCGGCCCGCCGUUGAAACUGGCAGUCUCGAGUUGGAGAGAAGUAUGCGGAAUGCGCGGUGUAGCGGUGAAAUGCAUAGAUAUCGCGCAGAACUCCGAUUGCGAAGGCAGCAUGCCGGCUCCACACUGACGCGGAGGCACGAAAGCGUGGGUAUCGAACAGGAUGAGAUACCCGAGUAGUC